UGUGUCAGUUUGCAGGAAGUGACCCAGCUCCGCUGUGAACUUCAGCAGGGGAGAGGUGUGCUGUGGCUGCAGGGAGGUCAUGCUCUUCCAGCCAGCCAGGCUGGAGUCACCUUGAGUCCACCUCCAUCACAGGACAAAAAGGAAGGUUGUGCAAGGCUGGAGUCAGACAGUCAGUGUUUAUCAUCAUGGCUAUGCCCAUCCGAAGGCUUUCCAUCAUCCUGUGAAACUGGAACUAAAUGUGCUGAAGACAGACACAUUAAAGGAAAGCAGGAGGAUGAUGGGUGGCUUCCCUCACCAGUGCAGUCAUUGAAUACAACUAAAUUUGAGUAGGUUACCUCUACUUAAUAUUAAACUGUAGUUCAUUCUUUACAAAAAAAAAACCUCAGUUUUUGUAAAAGCGCUGUUUUAUAUGAAGAAGAUCAAAAAUUCUUCCUUGAGCUUUCAUACAAAGGAGGCAUUGUUCUGAUUUAUCUAUUUCCUGGAAAAAAUGAAAGGUAGAAUAAUAUAGCUUUGUGGUAUUUUCUAAGAGCAAGGAAAAAACCCA
rnacentral:lncRNA from 1 species